GUUAGGAAUAUUGGACAAUGGGCGAAAGCCUGAUCCAGCCAUGCCGCGUGUGUGAAGAAGGUCUUCGGAUUGUAAAGCACUUUAAGUUGGGAGGAAGGGCAGUAAGUUAAUACCUUGCUGUUUUGACGUUACCAACAGAAUAAGCACCGGCUAACUUCGUGCCAGCAGCCGCGGUAAUACGAAGGGUGCAAGCGUUAAUCGGAAUUACUGGGCGUAAAGCGCGCGUAGGUGGUUCAGCAAGUUGAAGGUGAAAUCCCCGGGCUCAACCUGGGAACUGCCUCCAAAACUACUGAGCUAGAGUACGGUAGAGGGUAGUGGAAUUUCCUGUGUAGCGGUGAAAUGCGUAGAUAUAGGAAGGAACACCAGUGGCGAAGGCGACUACCUGGACUGAUACUGACACUGAGGUGCGAAAGCGUGGGGAGCAAACAGGAUUAGAUACCCGGGUAGUCC
rnacentral:rRNA from 1 species